UGUGCAACAACAGGAAAAGAAAUCUACGA
rnacentral:piRNA from 1 species